rnacentral:RNase_P_RNA from 1 species
CCGGGGAGCCGGGCAGCCGCGUCAUCAAUGUGCUUCGGCGCAAAGGUGUCGAGGAAAGUCCGGGCUCCACGAAACAAGGGUGGCGGGUAACGCCCGCCGUGGGCAACCGCAGGGAAAGUGCCACAGAGAGCAAACCGCCGAUGGCCCGUCAAACGGCACAGGCAAGGGUGAAAGGGUGCGGUAAAAGCGCACCGGGGGGCUGGUAACAGUUCCCGUCAUGGCAAACCCCACCCGGAGCAAGACCGCAUAGGGGUCUCGCGCCUUUAAAAGGGCAGCAGCGUUUCGCUGCGAGAGACCCGGGUUGGUUGCUUGAGCGCGCGGGAGCAAUCCCCCGCCGAGAUGAAUGGCUGCCCCCGCGGCGCUGAUGUGUCAGCAUAUCGGCUGCGGGACAGAACCCGGCUUACAGGCUCCCCGGCAAA